rnacentral:misc_RNA from 1 species
GAAAUGCGAUAAGUAAUGUGAAUUGCAGAAUUCAGUGAAUCAUCGAAUCUUUGAACGCACAUUGCGCCCGCCAGUAUUCUGGCGGGCAUGCCUGUUCGAGCGUCAUUUCAACCAUCAAGCCCCCCGGCUUGUGUUGGGGACCUGCGGCUGCCGCAGGCCCUGAAAUGCAGUGGCGGGCUCGCUGUCACACCGAGCGUAGUAGCAUACAUCUCGCUCUGGGCGUGCUGCGGGUUCCGGCCGUUAAACCACCUUCGUAACCCAAGGUUGACCUCGGAUCAGGUAGGAAGACCCGCUGAACUUAAGC